GCCUGGCACUCAUCAUUCCCUCUCUGUCUUUCUCUGUCUCUCUAUCUCUAGCUUUUUUCUCUCUAAACUUCAUUUGCUAUUCUUCUUAUUCUUCUCCUUAGCCCCACUUCUCUCUCUCUCUCUCUCUCUCACCUUUUUCUUUCUCCCUGUGCCAGCUUUUCUUUGCCUCUGUUAGUCCAAGAAAAUUAAAAGAGAAGGAGAAGAAACUCUUUCUCUCCUAAUUUUGGUAAUUAGAUUGGAUCUGGACUGCUUCUUUAUUGUAGUAUCUCCUUCAAAUACCAGGGUACUCUUGUUUCCGUGUUCAAGCCAAAGUUUUGGAAAUACAAAUAAUUGAACUGCAGAAGCAAUAUGGCUGUUUCCAUGAGAGAUCUUGAUUCAGCUUUCCAAGGAGCUGGACAGAAGGCUGGACUUGAAAUAUGGCGGAUUGAAAACUUUCGUCCUGUUCCUGUCCCAAAGUCUUCUUAUGGGAAAUUUUUCAUGGGCGACUCUUAUGUUGUUUUGAAGACAACUGCCCUAAAAAGUGGUGCCUUACGCCACGAUAUUCAUUAUUGGCUGGGUAAAGAUACCUCUCAGGAUGAAGCAGGUUCUGCUGCCGUCAAAACAGUUGAGCUUGAUGCAGCUCUUGGAGGUCGUGCUGUACAGUAUCGUGAAGUACAGGGCCAUGAAACAGAGAAGUUCCUAUCUUAUUUUAAACCAUGUAUCAUACCUCAAGAAGGUGGGGUUGCAUCUGGUUUCAAACAUGCCGAGGCCAAAGAACACCAGACCCGCUUGUUUAUUUGCAAAGGAAAACAUGUUGUUCAUGUAAAAGAGGUUCCUUUUGCUCGAUCCUCACUCAAUCAUGAUGACAUUUUUAUUCUUGAUACCAAGUCAAAAAUUUUUCAAUUUAAUGGUUCGAAUUCAUCUAUCCAAGAGAGAGCUAGAGCUUUGGAAGUAGUCCAGUACAUUAAGGAUACCUAUCAUGAUGGAAAAUGCGAGGUAGCUGCCAUUGAGGAUGGGAAGUUGAUGGCUGAUGCUGAAACUGGGGAAUUCUGGGGUUUCUUUGGUGGUUUUGCUCCACUUCCUAGGAAAACAACCACUGAUGACGAUAAGACUGCUGAUUCUCAUCCUACUAAGCUGUUUUGUGUUGAUAAGGGGAAGGCAGAACCUGUAGUUGCAGAUUCUUUGACAAGGGAAUUACUAGACACUAAUAGGUGCUGUAUUCUAGAUUGUGGAUUGGAAGUGUUUGUAUGGAUAGGGAGAAAUACCUUACUCGAUGAAAGAAAGGCUGCAAGUGGAGCUGCAGAGGAGUUAGUCAUUGGAGCUGAUCGGCCAAAUUCCCACAUUAUUCGUGUAAUUGAGGGUUUUGAGACAGUGAUAUUCCGGUCAAAGUUUGAAUCAUGGCCGCAGACCACUAAUGUAGCUGUGUCGGAGGAUGGUAGAGGCAAUGUUGCAGCACUUCUAAGACGGCAGGGGGUAAAUGUCAAGGGCCUUGUGAAGGCUGCUCCGGCAAAGGAAGAACCUCAACCGUACAUUGAUGUCACAGGAAAUCUGCAGGUUUGGCGUGUGGAUGGCCAGGAAAAGGUUCUCCUUCAAGCUUCAGAUCAGUCCAAAUUUUACAAUGGAGAUUGCUAUAUUUUUCAGUAUUCAUAUCCAGGAGAAGACAAGGAUGAAUAUCUUAUAGGAACAUGGUUUGGGAAGAAUAGUGUUGAGGAGGAAAGAGCUGCUGCUAUUUCACUAACAAGCAAGAUGGUUGAAUCAUUGAAGUUUCUGCCUGCCCAGGCUCGAUUGUAUGAAGGAAAUGAACCAAUUCAGUUCUUUACAAUCAUGCAAAGCUUCAUUGCUUUUAAGGGCGGUCUUAGCACUGGAUACAAGAAUUAUAUUGCGGAGAAGGAACUCCCAGAUGACACAUACAAGGAGAACGGUAUUGCAUUAUUUCGAGUUCAGGGUUCUGGACCAGAUAAUAUGCAGGCAAUACAAGUUGAACCAGUUGCAUCAUCUCUGAAUUCCUCUUACUGUUACAUAUUGCACAAUGACUCCUUCAUUUUUACAUGGUCUGGAAACCUUACAACCUCAGAUGACCAGGAACUUGUGGAAAGGCAGUUGGAUCUGAUAAAGCCAAAUGUACAGUCCAAGCCACAAAAGGAAGGUUCAGAAUCUGAGCAAUUUUGGGAUCUUUUAGGAGGGAAAACUGAAUAUCCCAGCCAAAAAAUUGGAAGGGAAGCUGAAAGGGAUCCUCACCUUUUCUCUUCCACAUUCUCAAAGGGAAAUCUGAAGGUGGCUGAGAUAUACAACUUUACCCAGGAUGAUUUAAUGACUGAAGACAUAUUCAUCUUUGAUUGUCACUCUGAGAUCUUUGUCUGGGUGGGGCAACAGGUUGACACCAAGAGCAAAAUGAAUGCUUUAACUAUUGGAGAGAAAUUUCUUGAAAAUGAUUUUCUGUUGGAAAAGUUAUCUUGUGAAGCUCCGAUAUAUAUUGUUAUGGAAGGGAGUGAGCCACCUUUCUUCACACGUUUCUUUGAAUGGGACUCUGCAAAAUCUGCUAUGCAUGGAAACUCAUUCCAAAGAAAACUUGCAAUUGUCAAAAAUGGGGGUACUCCUAUUGUUGAUAAACCCAAACGAAGAACACCUGUAUCCCAUGGAGGAAGAUCUAGUGUGCCAGACAAAUCUCAGCGUUCCAGAAGCAUGUCUUUCAGCCCUGAUCGAGUUCGUGUGAGGGGCAGGUCACCGGCCUUCAAUGCGCUAGCUGCUAAUUUUGAGAACCCUAAUGGCAGGAACCUUUCAACCCCACCACCAGUUGUUAGAAAGGUUUAUCCAAAAUCUGUGAGCCCAGAUUCAGCAACAGUGGCUUCCAAAUCUGCAGCCAUAGCAGCACUUACUGCAACUUUUGAACAACCGCCACCAGCACGACAAGUUAUAAUGCCCCGAUCCGUAAAAGUGAGCCCUGAGGCAGCAAAAUCAACGCCAAAUUCGGCAGCAAAAUCAACUCCAAAAGCAACUCCUGAAAAAUCAACACCUGAUUUAAACAAUAAAGGGAACUCUAUGAGCAACAGAAUAGAAUCCCUCACCAUAAAGGAGGAUGUGAAGGAGGGUGAAGCUGAAGACGAGGAAGGGCUCCCAAUAUAUCCAUAUGACUGCCUUAAAAUUAACUCGACAGAUCCUGUUACUGAAAUUGAUGUGACAAAGCGAGAGACUUACCUCUCAUCAGCAGAGUUUAGGGAGAAAUUUGGGAUGGCAAAGGAUGCCUUCUAUAAGAUGCCAAAAUGGAAACAGAACAAGCUUAAAAUGGCCCUUCAUUUGUUCUGAGUCUCCAUACCUCUGCCUUUCCUCCAGCUCCUGCAGCCUCAGCUGCAGGUGGAAGAAAUCUUAUUUGUGAAUCUUGGGGGGGGAUCUCAGUUUCUCAAAAGUAAAAGGGACAGCAUCAGUGCAUUUUUAGCUGCUUCUGCUCCCAGGAAGCUUGUUUUCUUGAUUGAUGGACAAAACCAGAGGUUUUUUCCAAUUUUCUUUUUCAUCUCUUGGUUUGAACAUGUAUCCCCUUAUUUGUGGUUGAGGUAGUUUUUUUUUGGUAUUCUUUAUGGUCACAGGUUUGUUGUGAGCUUGCAUUUUUGUUUUUCAUUAUUCAAUUGAAAAUUUGAUUGCUGUAGUGAUUAGUUGAUUGCGAAUGCAGACAGUUUAGAAUGUAUUGUACAACUGAGGAUGGAAGUGUGUACAGCAGAGUUUUAAAACCAGUCCACUCAUCACUUAAUUUGUUUUUAAUAAAAGUGUGCUUUUAUUAUAUUA